rnacentral:rRNA from 1 species
UACGUAGGGACCAAGCGUUGUUCGGAUUUACUGGGCGUAAAGGGCGCGUAGGCGGCUUGACAAGUCACUUGUGAAAUCUCCGGGCUUAACUCGGAACGGUCAGCUGAUACUGCUUUGCUAGAGUACAGAAGGGGCAAUCGGAAUUCUUGGUGUAGCGGUGAAAUGCGUAGAUAUCAAGAGGAACACCUGAGGUGAAGACGGGUUGCUGGGCUGAUACUGACGCUGAGGCGCGAAAGCUAGGGUAGCAAACGGG